UCGAAUUCUUGCCUCAUCGGUCCCGUGCUACUCACGUGCCACCUAGUGCCAACCGAAGAGAACCUUCCCGGUCUUACGGCGGGACUGAUACACGUUCCAUUCACGAUCCGUGAUUAACAAUAGACCAUACGAUUUUUCUAUUGUAGCGUUUUUCAUAUGUCGACGAUGGAUGAAAGAGUGACGCAAGUUUGAAUAACGAUUGGAAUAAUGACCACACUGGCUGGUUACAUGGAAAGCAAAGGCUAUAAACUCCAAAUGGAGGAAAUUAGGUGUCCACAUGAAUUAUAAACGGUGGAUUAAUAGGACGCCCAAGCCCAUUCUUUUUUCACGUUCUCUGCAGUUAACCAUCACAAAUAUGUUUUAAUUCUGUUUUAUAUAAAUCAGGCAGAAAUGUAAAUAAAUUCUUGUCGUGA